rnacentral:rRNA from 1 species
CCUACGGGUGGCAGCAGUGGGGAAUAUUGCACAAUGGGGGAAACCCUGAUGCAGCAACGCCGCGUGAAGGAAGACGGUUUUCGGAUUGUAAACUUCUAUCAAUAGGGAAGAAAGAAAUGACGGUACCUAAAUAAGAAGCCCCCGCUAACUACGUGCCAGCAGCCGCGGUAAUACGUAGGGGGCAAGCGUUAGUCGGAAUUACUGGGUGUAAAGGGAGAUUAGGAGGAAAGAUAAGCGAUACGGUAAAGCCUUGAGCUUAACGUAAGUAUGGCAUAACAAACUGGUUAGCUAGAGUACUGGAGAGGAAAGCGGAAUUACUAGUGUAGCGGUGAAAUGCGUAGAUAUUAGGAAGAACACCAGUGGCGAAGGCGGCUUGCUGGACUGAAACUGACGCUGAGGCUCGAAAGCGUGGGGAGCGAACAGGAUUAGAUACCCUUGUAGUC